CUGCCGCCGCUUCUGCUGCUGUUACUGGUUUCAGGAAGCGGAAGCAGGAAUGCUGGCUUUUUUUUUUUUUUUUUUUUUGGUAGAAAAGUUUGGACAACUUUAAGACUUUGGGCUCACAGACGCGAACUUUGGAGGGGAAACAUGACGGUGUGGUCCCAGUUGCUGAUAAAUCCAUAGAGUUGUCAGUCCUCUGACUGACAGACCAGAACUUCACAUGGACAUGAAAAGUAGAGUUGUGGGAAUGGAGAACACUAUCACUCCUCAAGAGCCUGCAGUGAAACCCCCCAUCAUGGCCCAUGAAAGACGGCUGGCCUGGGCUCAGAGCAAAGACUCCACUGGACAACGAUCAAAGUUGGAGAAACCUGACCGGCAGAAAGCUCCUCACAUCCAGAAGAACGGGCAUACGGAGACGUCAUCUGAACAACCAGGACAAGUUCCCAGCAAGAUUGCCACCUGGCUGAGCGAAUGUACCCCCAAUGGAGCGUCUCUGGAUGAUCAGAGUGCCUCUCCGAACAGAGGUAAACCAUUUUUUUCUAUUAAUGCUGUUUAUAAUGAUGACACAAGUUGCAGUAGAAACGCAUAUAAAAUUGCAUUUUAUAUAUAUGUAUCCUAAAGCUUUUCA
rnacentral:lncRNA from 1 species